CAGCCGCCGCGGUAAUACGUAGGUGGCAAGCGUUGUCCGGAGUUAUUGGGCGUAAAGCGCGCGCAGGUGGUUUAAUAAGUCUGAUGUGAAAGCCCACGGCUCGACCGUGGAGGGUCAUUGGAAACUGUUAAGCUUGAGUGCAGGAGAGAAAAGUGGAAUUCCUAGUGUAGCGGUGAAAUGCGUAGAGAUUAGGAGGAACACCAGUGGCGAAGGCGGCUUUUUGGCCUGUAACUGACACUGAGGCGCGAAAGCGUGGGGAGCAAACAGGAUUAGAUACCCCGGUAGUCCCUGUCUCUUAUAC
rnacentral:rRNA from 1 species